rnacentral:lncRNA from 1 species
UCUAAAGUAAUCUGAAGUAUUUGUCUCUUGUCUUCUUCUUCAAAUCUGUCCAAAAAUAAUUGAUAGUUCAUCACUUCUUCUUGGAUUUGUUGGAUCUUGAUAAAGUUGUUGACACUGUCAUAUGAUUUUACUUUGCUAGUCGCAUCGGUAGGUGCCUUGGAACAAAAUCCUCACUCACCUUACCAUCCAACUAUGUUGUCUUCUAUGUGUCUUUCUUUUUGCAUUUGGUGCUUCCACUUCUUUGUUGUCUAGGUGAAAGAUCCCCCUCCUUAAUUAGCC